ensembl:lncRNA
CUGUAGUGGGUAAUGAGAUUAGCCUAGCUGUAUUGGGAAAAAGGGGUAGCCUUGCUGUAGUGGUGACUGGGGUUAGCCUAGCUGUAGUCAGUACUUGGGUUAGCCUAGCUGUAGUGGGUAAUGAGAUUAGCCUAGCUGUAGUGGGUAAUGAGAUUAGCCUAGCUGUAGUGGGUACUGGGGUUAGCCUAGCUGUAGUGGUGACUGGGGUUAGCCUAGCUGUAGUGGGCAAAGGUGGUACAUUUAGCUGUAGUUGGUACUGGGGUUAGCCUAGCUGUAGUGGCAACUGAGGUUAACCUAGCUGUAGUGGGCAAAGGUGGUACAUUUAGCUGUAGUUGGUACUGGGGU